rnacentral:rRNA from 1 species
GAUGAACGCUGGCGGCGUGCCUAAUACAUGCAAGUCGAGCGAACAGACGAGGAGCUUGCUCCUCUGACGUUAGCGGCGGACGGGUGAGUAACACGUGGAUAACCUACCUAUAAGACUGGGAUAACGUCGGGAAACCGGAGCUAAUACCGGAUAAUAUAUUGAACCGCAUGGUUCAAUAGUGAAAGACGGUUUUGCUGUCACUUAUAGAUGGAUCCGCGCCGCAUUAGCUAGUUGGUAAGGUAACGGCUUACCAAGGCAACGAUGCGUAGCCGACCUGAGAGGGGAUUCGGCCCCCCUGAACCUGUACCCCGGCCCCACUCCUGAGGGGGGGACCAGGUGGGAAUUUUGCCCAAGGGGGGAAAACCCUACCGAAGCAUCCCGGGGUGGUGAAUGAGGUUUUUGGGUUCUAAAACCCUUUUUUUUGGGAAAAAACAAAUUUAUAGAAAACCUUGCCGGUUUUGCCUGUCCCAAAUAAGAAGCCCCCGCCAACUUCCGG